AAAGGUAAGCUACUAAGAGCGAAUGGUGGAUGCCUUGACUGGUAAAGGCGAUGAAGGACGUACUAGACUGCGAUAAGCUACGGGGAGCUGUCAAGAAGCUUUGAUCCGUAGAUUUCCGAAUGGGGCAACCCAAUGUAUAGAGAUAUACAUUACCUAUAUAGGAGCGAACGAGGGGAAUUGAAACAUCUUAGUACCCUCAGGAAAAGAAAUCAAUAGAGAUUGCGUCAGUAGCGGCGAGCGAAAGCGCAAGAGGGCAAACCCAGUGCUUGCACUGGGGGUUGUAGGACUGCAAUGUGCAAGAGGUGAGUUUAGCAGAACAUUCUGGAAAGUAUAGCCAUAGAGGGUGAUAGUCCCGUAUGCGAAAAACAAACCUUAGCUAGCAGUAUCCUGAGUAGGGCGGGACACGAGAAAUCCUGUCUGAAGCUGGGUCGACCACGAUCCAACCCUAAAUACUAAUACCAGA
rnacentral:rRNA from 1 species